rnacentral:lncRNA from 1 species
CGACCCUCCACCUUGAAACCUUGAGAUGGGGAUGCUCCUCAUUCUAGCCAGUUCCUCCUCAGCUCUCAAAACAAGGAACAGAUGCUCAGGAAACCAGAUCUGGACAAAAGUCAUCUGAGCCUGGUGUGAGGCAGAUUCCAGAAGUUUAGUUACAGACAUCCUUUAUAAGGAGACUUCAUCGGGAAUUCAAGACAACCUGGUGAUUCAUUGAAAUUUGCCUGUGAAAGAGAAUCUACAUAGACUUCCUGCCACCUCUUGAGAUGUGACAGUUGCUGACCCUCCCGCCACCACACAGGGCGAGCCCCUAGCCCUGAGCUUGAACCAUGUUGCUUGCACAAAUAGCUGGGUGAUUUAGAAGUGAGGUCAGCUGUGCCAGCAGUUACAGGGUGGUGGUUGUCUGUAACUUUAAUCCACUGACUGUUGUACUAGGGCAGUUUGGGCUAGACACUUUGGAGGAGCUCCUGUGAAGGGCAUGAAGGCUCACUGUAGCAGCAGCUCAGUUGUCUUUCAGAGUUCUGCCCUUAGAGCUGGUUUGCAGUGCUCAUCCUUCUUGCUGAUAUUUUAAAAUAGGUAGAAACAGGCUGGGCGCGGUGACUCAUGCCUUUAAUCCCAGUACUUUGGGAGGCCUAGGUGGGCAGAUCACCUGAGGUCAGGAGUUCGAGACCAGCCUGACCAACAUGUUGAAACCCCGUCUCUACUAGAAAUACAAAAAUUAGCCAGGCGUGGUGGCGCGCACCUGUAAUCCAGCUACUCAGGAGGCUGAGACAGGAGAAUCGUUUGAAGACAGGAGAAUCGUUUGAACCCAGGAGGUGGAGGUUGCAGUGGCAGUGAGCCAAGAUACCGCCACUGCACUCUAGCCUGGGCAACAGAGCAAGACUCCAUCUCAAAAUAAAUAAAUAAAUAAAAAUAAAAUAGGUAAAAACAAAUUAUAAAGUAAUACAAUUAUGAACUGCAAAUAAUAAAACAUAAAAAUUACUUUAAAAAAAUUUAAAGAGGCCGGGCACAGUGGCUUAUGCCUGUAAUCCCAGAAAUUUGGGAGGCCGAGGCAGGAGGAUCACUUGAGCCCGGGAGUCCAAGACCAGCCUCGUUAAUAUAAUGAGAGCUUAUCAUCUCUACAAAAAAUAAACAAAAUUAGCCAGGCAUGGUGGCAUGUGCCUGUAGUUCCAGCUACUCAGGAGGCUGAGGUAGGAGGAUCACUGGAGCCCAGGGGGUGGAGGAGCAGUAAGCCAAGAUUCUGCCACUGCACUCCAGCCUGGCUGACAGAGUAAGACCCUAUCUCAAAAAACAAAAAGCAGAAAGAACAAAGAAGUAAACAAAAGCUUAAAAGUAAAUCAGCCAGGUGCAGUAGCUCAUGCCUGUAAUCCCAGUACUUUGGGAGGCCUAGGCAGGCAGAUUACUGCAGGUCAAGAGUUUGAGACCAGCCUGGCCAACAUGAUGAAACCCUGUCUCUACUAAAACUACAAAAAUUAGCCAGGCAUGGUGGUGCGCACCUGUAAUCCCAGCUACUCCGGAGGCUGAGACAAGAGAAUCGCUUGAACCUAGGAAGUGGAGGUUGCAGUGGCAGUGAGCCAAGAUAGCGCCACUGCACUCCAGCCUGGGCAACAGAGCAAGACUCCAUAUAUGGAGAUCCCUUGAGAUCAAGAGUUCGAGACCAGCCUGGCCAACACGGCAAAACCCUGUCUCUACUAAAAAUAAAAAAAUUAGCCAGGCAUGGUGGCGCACACCUGUAGUCCCAGCUACUGAGGAGGCUGAGACAAGAGAAUCACUUGAACACAGAAGGCAAAGGUUGCAGUGAGCUGAGAUUAUGCCACCACACUCCAGCCUGGGUAACAGAGUGAGACUCCGUCUAAAAAAAAAAAAAAAUCGGGCAGUUGUGAUGGCUAACACCUGUAACCC